CCCGGGCUCCAGCCAUCCUCCUGCUUCAGCUUCCUGAGUAGCUGGGACCACAGGAUGUUUGCAGCGGUCCAGAAGAAGAAGAUUUCCUGUGAGAUCUUUGUCAAUCACUUCAAGGAAAAUAAGGUGGAGAUAGCAAAUGCAAUAACAAAGCCAUUUCCUUUUCUUGAAAGCCUCAGACACAAUUCUUUUAUCACUGAAAAAAUAUAUACUGAUUCCCAAGAAGCUUGUAUAAACUUGAUUCCUGUACAGAGAGUUGUGUACCAGGCUCUCUGCCACCUGGAGAAGGUGUUUGAUUGUUCAGUUCUGUCAGUCCUGUUCAGCAGGAUUAACUUGAAGGAGUAUCCUGAUUUAAUUGAGGUUCAUAAAAGCUUCAAAAAGGUGCUCCCCUUUUCCCAGAAAAGGGAUGGAAAAGAGACACCAAAAAUGUCCAGCUUUCAGCCAAGCUGUAAACAAGGUCAUAAUGUCUGGAUGAAAGCUUUGUUUUCUGGUCUACUAAGAAGAAAAGGAGACAGGAAACCGAGGUCUGAGGGAAGACUGCACUGCUGGGGAUGGUGGCAGAGCUGGUUGAGGGUCACUUCGUGUUGAUUCCAAAGUGACCUGACUCCAGUUGGAAUCCAAGAGCACUCGCAAGAGGUGGCAAAAACAGACUUUCUCCCCAAUAACCUGGAGGGUAGAGUGAGGAUCUGAGUGUGAAUUACUAGUUUAUAGGAGACCUUCAGUGAGAAGCCAUGAAGGGCUAAGAAGGAUGUGCCUAUGGCCAACAAUGUCAAAGAAGAUACUCCUGGUGAUGCCAGAAGAAGGGGCCGAUUUAAACGGGGGCGUGUUGUUCAGCAGCAGGAAUAUUCAAAGAGAAAGGUAGUCACACAGAAAGACACAGAGAGGAAGUGAUGCUUGUGCUGAGUAGAGGAUGAGGGUAUUUUGAGAGAGAGAGGAGGAAGGAGGGGAAUUGAAAGACAUUGAAGGACAACAGUAAAUAUAACUGUGUUAUGAACAGCUCACUGUGAUUGAAUGCCUGCUGUGUGGCGGCUCUGGGUUUAGUGUUCGUGGCUGCCUUUGGAGAUUAGUAUUAUUUAUGUGCCCAUUUUGCAGAUUAGGAAACUGAAACCCAGAGGGACAAUGUAUGGGGUUGCCUAGAUCAGGUGAGAAAAGAUGAACCCAGAGCCUUUGUUACUUUUUGGGAGGGAAAGAGGUAAAAUUCAGAUGUUAACCAUUUUAAAGUGUGGAAUUCAGUGACAUUUAGUAUAUUCACAAUGUUGUACAACCAUCACCUGUCUGUAGCUUCAAAACAGUUUAAUCAUCCCAAAUGGAAACCCUAUGCCCAUUAACCAAUUAUCUAAUUUCCCUCUGCCCCAAUCGCCGGCAAUCAGUAAUCUACUUUCCGCCUCUACAAAUUUGCCUAUUCCAGACAGUUCAUGUAAAUGGAAUCACACAAUAUGUCGCCUUCUGUGUCUGGGCUUCCUUCACUUAAUAAGAUGUUUCCAGGUUUUUUCCACAUGGUAACAUGAAUUAGUAUCUCAAGUCCUUUUGAUGGCGGAGUAAUAUUCCAUCUUGUCUCUACCGCAUUUUGUUUAUUCAUUCAUUAAUGAAUGGGCUGUUUCUAUCUUUCUGCUACUGUGACGGAAGUUACGUUCUUCUGUUACCCAGGGAAUCUAAUGGAAAAGACAGAAACAGAAACAUGAAACAAAAGUGGGGAAAUACAUGCAGAAAAAAAGAUCCAGGGAAAAAAGAAUGCAAAGAGCUGGAGGGAGUGGAGGUGACCCAAACUCUGAGCCCUCAUGGAAAGGCCAAUGAGAAAGCAUGAACAGAUGUGGAGAGGGAGGAUGUGGUGUAAAAGGGGGUGGGCAUGAGGCAACCAGGACUUUGCAGGAAAUGAGCUAAGGGCCCUGGGCAGGGUAGCUGUGGGGACAAAGGCAGGUUCACUCUGCCAUCGCCAGUUACCAGAAUGUCUCAUGGAGGAUACUCAGUGGGGUUGUCUGGCCAAGACCCUCUCAACCAAGGGUGCAGUGACCCAGUCCCCCACUCUCAGAGCUGGAGUCUCACUUCGAGAAUCAGGGGUCAUCCAUUAUGAAACCAGAACAGAAACCUCUGAGCCUGUCUGGGAUGUGAAGUCAACAUAUAUAUAAAGCCAGAACAUUCUAUCCUUGGCCCAGGUGAUGCUCUUGAAACACAGCAAGCAGACACAAGGACCCAAGUAGUGCCCAGGGAACUCAAGGAUCUCCAAAUAAAAAAGGAGAGAGGGUCAGAAGAGAUGCCCAGUGGAUGGCCACAUGGUAGACAAGGUACUGCAAUUGAAUCUCGCCCUUAAGUGACCAAUUACCUGAUUAGAUCAGGGUGUAGAGGGAGGAAGGGCUUCUCUUCCCCUCUUCCCUCUCUGACAGGAGCUCAACCUCUGGCUGCUUUCAAAUUUGUGAGGGAAGCAAGCAGGAUGAGGCAUGUGAUGUGCCCAGGCUGCAACAUUGUGAGAGGCACUCACUGGCAGGACCCCUAGAGUAUGCGCCCUAAGUCUUCCAGGCAGGAGAGAAAGGAGAGCUGAACGCCUCCCUGGAGCAUGGCACCCUGGGUGGAGAAGCUGAGGAGCACCAGUAUGGAAGAGGUGGACGACUGGGCCAUGGAAUAGCAACUUUUAGGAGUGUGCCCAGUUUUACCUAAGUGGACAUAAUGUCUAAGCUUUCCCAGGUUGGUGGAGGAUUGACAAGGAAAUAAUUUUGUCCUGCUUGCUGGAAGUUGCCACAGGAUCAGGCAAACAAGAAUUCCCUUUUUGGUAAAGUGGCCAUUACUGUCAACUUUUCUCAAGCAAGACAUUCAGGAAUCUUGCCAGGUGCAGUGGCUCAUGCCUGUAAUCCCAACACUUUGGGAGGCCGAGGUGGGCGGAUCACCUGAGGUUGUGAGUUCGAGACCAGCCUGACCAACAUGGAG